CUUCCACCCUGAUGGGACAGACCUGGUCAUGUGCCCAAAUCUCAGCCACCAAGUGUGGAGUUUGGAAAAAUGUAAUCGGAUUAAGUCCAGGAGGGCCUCCUCAGGAGCUCCAGGUACACUUACUAGGAAUUUCUCUCAUCUGGGCUCCUUCAUCUCUCCUACACUGUUCUUGUAUAUGUCAGACAAUUCUAUGGGUUCGCCCAUCAUCUCCAUGAAGAUAUCUCCCAAGUCUAUAGCACUGGAUGUAAUCAUCAAGGACUUUUCACGACCGCUCUGUUCAGAUGAUCAACUCCCCACCUUGACCUUGAGCACAUCUCCCCAUUUUAUGUCCCACUGCAAGACAAAAGUUUAGUGUGAACAUGUGGCACAAGACAAUUUUCUUCUCCUCAUAUGCGUCUUACAAAAGUGAAAAGCUGACUCAAGGAUGCAAACUAUUUUCAGCAAUACUGGGAGGAAAGUAAAAAAUGAGAAUGUAAAAUUAUACCUCAGUGGUGCUGAAAGCUGCAGGCUCUUUUUUGAUGCCGUACAGGGAGAAGAACAGCAGAGGCUGAGAGGCCAGGAGGGUAGAGAAUGUGGCACAAUGGGGCAGAUCUUUGGAAACUCCAGCAUGAAUUCACUUCCUGUUACUAAUGGGCUCAACGGGGAAAUGACAAUUCUGUUUUCCUUCAUGAAACAGGGUGGAGAUAAACAGAAGGCCCACAGAGAAAAGAUAACUGAAGUGUUUUCUGCUACCAUCAUGUGAGAAUGUAAACUGCAGGCUGAACAAGGCUAUGUAAGAAAGUGCAUUGAGGGAGUAGCCCAGCUUCAGGCUGGUUUUAUAUAAUUCAGUAUUCAGGCUGAGCUGUAUCUGAAUACAAAUUACAACUCAUCCUUCAGCCUGGGUGUCUGAUCAAUAGGCACAGAAUGAGAAACACAAAUGGAAUCUCAAAUUUUCAUGAAAAUGAUUGAAAGAAACGGAUGCAACUUCACUUAGCUGUCCCACUUAAUGCAAUCUCCAAAAGUGAAUUCUACUAAGAAAGACUAGCAAGAAGGUGGCCAGAUGUUUCACCAGCAAGCUUACAGAACAGCUUCUUAGAAACUACUA